AGAACGAACGCUGGCGGCAGGCUUAACACAUGCAAGUCGAACGGUUGUAGCAAUACAGCAGUGGCAGACGGGUGAGUAACACGUGGGAACCUUCCUAGGGGUACGGAACAACUCAGGGAAACUUGAGCUAAUACCGUAUACGUCCGUGAGGAGAAAGAUUUAUCGCCCCUAGACGGGCCCGCGUAGGAUUAGGUAGUUGGUGAGGUAACGGCUCACCAAGCCUACGAUCCUUAGCUGAUCUGAGAGGAUGAUCAGCCACACUGGGACUGAGACACGGCCCAGACUCUACGGGAGGCAGCAGUGGGGAAUCGUUGGACAAUGGGCGCAAGCCUGAUCCAGCCAUGCCGCGUGAGUGAAGAAGGCCGUUGGUGUAAAGCUCGUUUUACCGAGGUACGAAUAAUGAACGUACCGUAGGAA
rnacentral:rRNA from 1 species